rnacentral:rRNA from 1 species
UGGGGAAUAUUGCACAAUGGGCGCAAGCCUGAUGCAGCCAUGCCGCGUGUGUGAAAGAAGGCCUUCGGGUUGUAAAGCACUUUCAGCGAGGAGGAAGGUGGUGAACUUAAUACGUUCAUCAAUUGACGUUACUCGCAGAAGAAGCACCGGCUAACUCCGUGCCAGCAGCCGCGGUAAUACGGAGGGUGCAAGCGUUAAUCGGAAUUACUGGGCGUAAAGCGCACGCAGGCGGUUUGUUAAGUCAGAUGUGAAAUCCCCGGGCUCAACCUGGGAACUGCAUUUGAAACUGGCAAGCUAGAGUCUCGUAGAGGGGGGUAGAAUUCCAGGUGUAGCGGUGAAAUGCGUAGAGAUCUGGAGGAAUACCGGUGGCGAAGGCGGCCCCCCUGGACGAAGACUGACGCUCAGGUGCGAAAGCGUGGGGCAGCAAACAGGAUUAGAUACCCUGGUAGUCACGCUGUAAACGAUGUCGAUUUUGGAGGUUGUGCCCCUUGAGGCGUGGUUCCGGAGCUAA